AUAACGAUCGAUCCUGUCACUGGCGUCAUCCGUCGCAGCGGUGACCUCACGGGUCGCGCCGGUGACUAUGAGAUCGUUGUGCAGGCGAGAGAUGGCGCCGGUGCAGGUAUCAACGUCGCCACCGUCCCCGUCGAGAUCCACGUAGUCGACGUCAACGACAAGAGACCAUUCUUCCUGACGCCGAGCGUGGACGCGUGCUCGAGAAUCAGACAGCUGGCUUCGUCAUUGUGACGGCGGUUGCCGCGGACGACGACGACGGCGCGGGAGCAAGCAUCCGCUACGCGCUGCGUCACCGCGGCAUCGUCGUCAACGCGACGCGAGACUUUGUCAUCGACGAGCGAACGGGGAUGCUGCGCACGCGAGCACGCCUCGACCGCGAGACACACGCCAGCUACCAGUUGGAGCUGGUUGCCGAGGACAACGGGAAUCCUCCGUAUCAGGCGUACAGGCUGCUGACGGUCGUUGUUGACGAUGUUAACGACAAUAUGCCGUCGUUCCCUCGCA